rnacentral:rRNA from 1 species
UACGUAGGGAGCAAGCGUUGUCCGGAAUCAUUGGGCGUAAAGCGCGCGUAGGCGGCCCCGUAAGUCCGCUGUGAAAGUCAAAGGCUCAACCUUUGAAAGCCGGUGGAUACUGUGGGGCUAGAGUCCGGAAGAGGCGAGUGGAAUUCCUAGUGUAGAGGUGAAAUUCGUAGAUAUUAGGAAGAACACCAGUGGCGAAGGCGGCUCACUGGCCCGGUACUGACGCUGAGGCGCGAAAGCGUGGGGAGCAAACAGG